rnacentral:rRNA from 1 species
UACGGGGGGGGCAAGCGUUGUUCGGAAUUACUGGGCGUAAAGGGCUCGUAGGCGGCCAACUAAGUCAGACGUGAAAUCCCUCGGCUUAACCGGGGAACUGCGUCUGAUACUGGUUGGCUUGAAUCCGGGAGAGGGAUGCGGAAUUCCAGGUGUAGCGGUGAAAUGCGUAGAUAUCUGGAGGAACACCGGUGGCGAAGGCGGCAUCCUGGACCGGCAUUGACGCUGAGGCGCGAAAGCCAGGGGAGCAAACGGG